rnacentral:lncRNA from 1 species
CAGUUCAUGCCUCUGUGCUUUUGUCCAUGUUGUUUUCUCUGCCAGGAAAACAUGUAUCUGGCUGUUUAAGUCAUCUCUCAAGACUAUGCUGAAAUGCCACAUCCUCUGGAAGGGGGCUGCUUCCACCCAAGGAAGGCUGGUUGAUCCCUUGGGAUUUCUCAGACCAGAAGCAAGACUACCCACUGGCACACCAACUAGAGAACAGCAAGUGCUCAGAUAAUCUGACACAGCCAGGACAAACAACACAAUCAGUACUCUCAGAAAAAAGCAGUGCUGUUAUCACAAUUAUGUUGAAGAGGACAGGCUUAGAGAGGUAAAGUGAAAGGUGCAGUACUUG